GGCUGGGAACCUCAAAUCUGGCUCCUGUUCUCCCAGGGUGGGCAUGCAGCUGGGGGCUGGAGGAAAUGGGGGCUACCAGGGAAAGGGCUUAAAAUAAAGGGAUCUGGACUCCUGGAGGUGUGAUCUGAGGGUGCCUAGGGUCAGGGUGAGAGGACAAGGAGUGCAGCCUCAAACAGGGUUGAAAGCCUGUGAAAGUCCCUCCUCCACAGAGAACCCCGCCUCUCCAGAAACUGACCCUAACACACUGCUAGCUGAAGUCCUUGAAGGGAGACCUGGACUCAUGAGGCAUUGUAGGGGCCAGAGCUGGAAGAAGAGGGGUGGCAGAGGCCAGGAGACCGGGGAGGGGGAGCAGAGGCAGACCCAGAGGCUAGAGACACAGCGUGAUUGAGGUUGAGACCAAGACUCAGGGACUGGCUGCAGAGACAGAGACAGAAUGGCAGCAAGAGACAGAAGGAAAGAGACCCAAGGUGGCAGCCUGGGUGUCUGAAAAGCAGAGAGGAGUCAUAUGGGUACCAGGCUAGAGAAUGGGUGGCUGAGAGGGCAGAGGGGCUUUCAGUAUGUGUGAUGGACAGGAAGGGGCAGCUUCAGCUGAGGGGGUUAGACCAGGCCACCCUGGAGGAGAACUUCAUUCUGGGAGAGGGGGCAGCCAGGAGGGGCUGUGGGAUGGAAGCUAGAGAGAGGACCCUUCCCACCACUGUCUUCUCCCUCUCCUCCUAGGGGGCCCCCCCGGGUGGCUGUGGCUGCGCCUCUCCUCCCCCAGAGCAGACACACACCUGACAGUCCUUUCCUUCCCGAGGGAAGAGGGAAGCCGGAGGCGAGCCGGCGACCGGAGAGGGAGGCGGGACGAGGAGGGAGAAGGAAAGGGAGAGAGGAGUGGGAAAUAGGAGAGUGGGAAAGGGAAGGGGAGAGGAGAGAGAAGGAACAGGGGAAGGAAAGGAGAGCGGGAAAAGGAAGAGACGGGAAAGGAGAGAGAGGUGGAGGAAGAAAACAGCAAAGAGGAAGAGGAGAUGGAGCAAGACAGGGUAAGAAGGAGAGAGAAGGGUUGGGGAGACAGAGGGAAGGGGCAGAGAAGGCAAACAGGCAGAGAGAAGGCUGGGUGAAGAGAGAUCGAGGGAGAGGAAAAUGGUUAAAAGAGGGAGAGAGGUGCGAGGGAAGAAGGGAAAGCUGGAGAGCGCGGGAGAAGGGAGCCGGCAUGGGCUCCCAGCCGCGGAGCGCACCGCUCACCGCUCUGAAGAUACCCGCAGGCUGCGGGCCCCCUGCUGCCCCUGCGCGAAUUCCCGACCGCGGGCUCCGAGCAGAAGCC
rnacentral:lncRNA from 1 species